CUAUGCUCCUAUCCCCCUCCUCGUUAAGAAGAUCCCGAAAGUACGCCUGCCACCUCUGUUUGAUUUGCGAUUCCCCCGUCAGAACUCUACCAUCCUCGGCCUUGAUACACCUGACUCGGUCUAGAUCACGGGCCUUCCUCUCCCUUGCUUUAGCCAACCGGAAUAACUUCUUAUCCCCACCCCUCUCCCCUAGUUCCUCGUACAUGCGACCGAAU
rnacentral:lncRNA from 1 species